rfam:Picea glauca, whole genome shotgun sequence.
GGGUGAAAUCAUACCAAUGUUAAUGCAUCAAAUCCCAUCAGAACUCCAUAGUUAAGUGAAAUUGUGCUAGAGUAGUACUAGGAUGGGUGACCUCCUGAGAAGUCCUAGUGUUGCACCUU